UCCAGACUCCUACGGGAGGCAGCAGUGGGGAAUAUUGCACAAUGGGCGCAAGCCUGAUGCAGCCAUGCCGCGUGUAUGAAGAAGGCCUUCGGGUUGUAAAGUACUUUCAGCAGUGAGGAAGGAGGUAUCGUUAAUAGCGGUAUCUUUUGACGUUAGCUGCAGAAGAAGCACCGGCUAACUCCGUGCCAGCAGCCGCGGUAAUACGGAGGGUGCGAGCGUUAAUCGGAAUUACUGGGCGUAAAGCGCAUGCAGGUGGUUUGUUAAGUCAGAUGUGAAAGCCCGGGGCUCAACCUCGGAAUUGCAUUUGAAACUGGCAGGCUAGAGAACUGUAGAGGGGGGUAGAAUUUCAGGUGUAGCGGUGAAAUGCGUAGAGAUCUGAAGGAAUACCGGUGGCGAAGGCGGCCCCCUGGACAGAUACUGACACUCAGAUGCGAAAGCGUGGGGAGCAAACAGGAUUAGAUACCCUGGUAGUCCACGCCGUAAACGAUGUCUACUUGGAGGUUGUGGCCUUGAGCCGUGGCUUUCGGAGCUAACGCGUUAAGUAGACCGCCUGGGGAGUACGGUCGCAAGAUUAAAACUCAAAUGAAUUGACGGGGGCCCGCACAAGCGGUGGAGCAUGUGGUUUAAUUCGAUGCAACGCGAAGAACCUUACCUACUCUUGACAUCCAGAGAACUUAGCAGAGAUGCUUUGGUGCCUUCGGGAACUCUGAGACAGGU
rnacentral:rRNA from 1 species